AUUAAAACAAAACAAAAUAAAACUUCAGUCUCAAACUCACUGCAGGCUCUUCCCUCCUCCUGCACAGGCUAGAGCUGGGACUGAAACAUGGGUGGUGAACACUCCUCCCCUCUUCCCUGCACAUGUUGGGCACAUGUGGGCCUCCUGCAGCCCAGUGCCAGGGAGGCCAUCUGGGGGGAGAAGAGAUUCUGUUCAUGCGACAGGUUGCAUGUUGGUUAUGGUCAGUGUCCUGGCUUCGGUCUAGGCGUGGAGCUCUGUGCAAUGUUGGUGGCAUCCACUCUAUGUACAGCCGUGUGUGACCACAUGUUUCCAUAUGGCGGGGAGCUUCUGGCCCUCUGAGAAGAUUGGCAGCCCUGCCUCCUCCAUGGCUUUCCUGGGUGGGGCCUCCUAUUGCUUUGUCCAGGGCUCCCUCCCUUAAUAACCACCAGAGUUCUUUCCAUACCCUUUGAGGGCCACAGAGGACAGGAUGGGGUGGUUUCCUGGACAUACUACAUCUGAGGAUCUUCAGGCCCUACAGUCCUGGACUAUUCUAGCAGGUGAGAAAUCUCUGUACCAGGAGCAGGCAACAGUGUUUAAGAUCAAGUCCCCACAUGCCAGUGAUCCCCCCUUUCCAUUUUUUUUUUUUUUUUUUUUUUUGUGGUAAGAGCGCUGAAAAGGAACCAGAUUCUCAGGCUCCCAGAAUGCUCCCCUAAGAGCCCUGCUUGUCUCUGUGGAUGGCACCAGGUUGGCCUACAAUAGGCACACUUCUGGGGGACAAAAUGCCAUUCUCCCUGUCUUGGAGGUCCCAGUCCUCAGGUGUGGUUCAUUUGGAGCUACUCUUGGCUGUAGGAGGGGGAGGAACCCCUCUCUCCCAUGGUGGACAUGGCUUUUCCCUGCACACACAAAGCUGACCACCUCCUCUCUUAGGCCUCAUUUGUCUCCUGAUGGCUGGUUCUGCAUCUCUCAGCAAGCACAGAACUACCUUUAGGACAUGCUGUGUCUGGUGACUUUUGGAGACCUUAGCCACAAGCGCUCAAGCAACAGAUCUUCCAUUCCUUUGCUCCAGAGAGAAUAAGCGUUGGCCAAGGGGAUGUUUAUCUUUGCAGUCUUCAAGUCCACAGCCUUGCCUGGGACAGACAGUUCAUGGGAUUGAAUUACAACAGGAAGUAUGGCAGCAAAGUGGCUGCUUGUUUCCCUGUAUGCGCAGGCUCCCAGGAGGAUCUGUGACUACACUCCUUAUGAAGAGGCCUCUUUUCCUGUAAGAAGAGGCCAGAUUGAUGAACCACUUCUCUGAGCACACAGUGGAACAGACUGCAGGCCCAGCCUUCCUCUGGUGCCUGAGGAGUGGGAGGGGUUUCUAUGGUGAUGGCACGUGUCAUCCCUCCCCUCCAUCUUGCAGGGCCACUGAGGAGGUGGGAGCUUCCUGCCAUUGGUAUGCAGUUCAGAGCCCAGGCCACAGCUGGCGUUUGGUUUCCUGCACACUUGCACUGACACUGGAAGGGACAGCCUGUCGGAGGCUCUAUGGGAGACCAACCUGGAGGUAUCCAGCAGAGAUGUGCUUAAAAGGCAGCUUCAUCUUCCUAGAAAGAUCAAAAGCUAGUUGAGCACAGUGUUUCGCAUUCCUAGGUUGAAAACUGGGCAUGUAACUAGUAAAACAAGUCGUCCUUCAGUCCGGCAUUGUAGGUGGAGGCAGAGGGCUGAAAAUGGUGUGGAGAGAUGCUGAAGGGGACAGUUGGGUAAAGAGGGAGAGUGGGUACUUUGUUUAAAAUUUUGUGUAUAAGAUGACUUAAUAAGCUCUUAUUUUUGUUGUUUCAAAUCUGCACAGCCCAAUUCCCUUCAUUUGUGCAGAAAAUAUUGAGCGGUCACUAUGUGCCAGGCAUGUUCUAGGUACCAAGGAUAUAGCACUGAACGAAACAGAUAAAAAUCUCUGCCCUCAUCCUAGCUGGAAGAAACCAACUAUCUGCAAAAUAAUAGUAAGCUAUACCAUAUGCUGGAUAGUGAUAGGUGCCAUGGAAAAGAUAAAGUAGGGAAGAGGGAAUGUCCUGUAGGUGAGUGGAUGGAUGGAUGGGCUGAAGUUUUAAAUAGGUUAUGGAGGUCCUCAAUGAGAAGUUACUUUUGAAAAAGAUUUGAAGGAGGUGAGAAAGGAGGGCAAAGAACAUCCAGGGCUAGGACUCUCCAGGUGGAGGAGAGAGUUAGUGCAAAGGCCCUGAGGUAGGAAUGGAUUUGGCAUGUUUGAGGAACUGCAGAAUGGUCAGUGGGGCUGGAGCAUGGUGAGUAGUAGAGAGAGGGUUAGGAGACAAUGCCAGAGAGGUAGGCAGGCACCAAAUCACGUAGGACAUUACAGGCCAUAAAAAUGAGUUUGGAUUUUAAGUGCAGAUCCCUGGGGGACCAAAAGGUUGUUGAGAAUAGCGUAGUAUUGAGCUGGGGAGAUGGAGACUGGGGUGCUUGCAGGUCAGGUUACGGAGAAUUUGAAGUUACUGGUAGUGAUAAUGUCUUAACAGAUGACCACAGGAAUGAGUGACAGGCAGAUGGGGAACAAGCUCAUAGGAGAAUGGUCCAGUAAUUUUGAGAGCAGGGUCCUGGAAGGAAUAAACAGAGUGGUAUUAGAAUGGCACUGAGCUGGGAGCCAAAAUCUCCAAGAGUGGAAGGAAGUGACCCCAGUCUUUGCAACAAGACAGACAAAUGGAUUAUGUAGCCUGGAUGUGAGAUUCCGAGCUGGGUUUUAGAACAGAGAAAUGGAGUGUAGUCUGGAAGCAGCAGUGAGGAUCACUGGAGGCAGUGGAGGUGGAGGGGGGCACCCUCUGCCCUGAUGCUGACGGGGGGCUGGGGGAGGGUUGGCAACUGGGAGCCAAGAUUCCCUCUAGGUGUGAGGUAUGGUUGUCUUCUGCUGCUAAGAACUAUUUCUCUUAGUGAAACCUGACUGGAAGUAUCACUGCUCAAUACUAGGUUUCUUAGUCUGGAUGAAAUUGAAUGAGGAUAUUUCAUAAGUUCUUUUCCCUAGACAUGGAAUAAUAGGAAUUAAAAGUUUAUACUUGGUCUUUAGAGGCAUCUAGGGUUAAAACAAAGCCCCUCUUUACUGCUUGUAGGAUGCUGUGUCAAGGUUCAUCAUCCCCCCGAUGGUCUGCAUCCAGACCAUAGAGGAAGAAAAAGUUGACUUAGAACGUAUGCACUUACCAGGAAAAGAACAAGAAUGGAGGAAAAAAAGGAAAAAGGAAGAAAAAGCAUGUGAGAAGUCGAUAGGAGUGUUUCAGGUGGAAUGAACUCCCUGCAGAAGUGACUCUCAGGAAGGCAGGGCGCUUCGUUCAUUUGCCCUAUAGAUGGCAGUGGUUCUGCAAGAGCGUCUGGAGAUCCCAGGGGUCCCCGGAGCCCUUUCAGGGGUGCAUGAGAGGUCAAGAGUAUUUCAGUAAUAAUACUAAGAUGUUAUUGCCCUUUGUAUUCUCUUCUCUCACAAGUGGACAGUGGAGUUUUGCAGAAGCUAAUUGAAGUGCGAUAUCCCAGCAGACUGAACACAGAAGCAGAUAGAGAAACUAGCUGUCCUUUUAGGGCCAGAUAGUAAAGAAAUCCAUAAGAAUGUAAAACAAUGUCAGUCUUCUCACUAAAUGGUUUUUUUAAAUCUUGGAAAAUAGAGUUAUUUUUCACAAAAAUAUAUUAACAUUAGGAAGGCUAUUGCAGUGUUUAAAUCAAUUAGUAAAUAUUUUUGAAAUUCCCAUUUUACUUUCUCAGGCAAUAAAUAUUGAUAGGCAUAGUCCUUAUAAACAAAAGCUCCUUGUGGUCCUUAUUACUUUUUAAGCAUACAGGAAUCCUGAGACCAAACAGUUUGAAAACUAGUGGUUUAGUAGAUAAGAGACCAGGCUCUGGAGUUAGUGUGGUUGGGUGUGAGCCCAGGUUUUGUGAUCUUAGGCAAGUUACAGAGUUGGUUUUCUUAUCUGUAAAGUAGGCUAUCUCAUACAGUUAUUAUGAACAACAAUCUAUUAACAACACUUUGCACAGUGUUGGGCACAGAAUGAUCAUUUCAUAAGUGUUUACUAUUUCAUUAUAUAACUGACCAACUAUCUAUUUUAUGCAUAACUGUGUUAAGUCCUGUGAAGGAUGUAAAAUGCCUGAGUUUUGGCUCUGACUCUGGAGCGGUUGCCCCUCAAUAGGGGAGAGAUUUCCAGAUUUGUGGUUGGCAUCUUUGGUUUAAAUUUCCAGCUCUACGCUUGACUAAUGACCUGACCUUGAGUGAACCACUUCAUGUGGGGUAAAGUCAGAUAAUAAAGUCAUCCAUAAUGGUCCACUGAGGAGAGAGUAAGUUCCCACUUGUAUCUUUCAGGCAUUACUGCGUGGUUCAGUUUAACACUUGUCCUUCUUCUUAAUAAUUAUGCUAAAUCUCUCUGUUUUCCAUUUCCAGAAUGCACUUUUCCUCCUAUGCCACUAGAGGGCACCCCAUGCCUUCUUAUUUAUUCAUUUUCUGCUUUCUCUAAUUUGAAAAUCUUUUAGCUGAAUUGGAUGGCAAGAGCAGAUACUGUGUCAGCAUGGUGAAUGUGUAAGUUCUAUCUGCAAAUCCUGACACUGUUUUUAUCAGUCAGUAUACAUUUACUGACACGUCUUGAAAUAAAACUGGGGGAAAGGGGUUGGUGGAAGGGAUGCUGUCGGUUAUCCCCACCAUCCCCUGACAUCGCCGAGCAUCUACUCCCUGCCAGGAUCAUGCUAAGUGCUUCAUGUGAAUUGUCUAGUGGAAUCUCAAGAGCAGCACCAAGGGGCAUUUUUAAUAGCUGGGGAACCAGGCUCUGAUUGGUUAGGUAACUUGUACAAAGUCCAUUGUGGUGGAUCUAGUUCAAGUCCUGGUACUCUGGAAAAGGGAGUGUUUACAGUGAUCCUGGAUGAAGAGGCUCCAGAGAAGUGUGUGCUGAUUGCAGAGGAGGGCGAGAGCUGUGAGCUGGAGGGAGGGAGGCCUGGGCCUCGUGGGAGGCACGAUUUGGACAGAAGACCAGAGAGCAUUUGGUUAGGCAAGGGAAUAACACUUGGUACAAUGAAAUCUGCCUUAGGGGCUCCUCAGCCUUGGCUGUAAGUAAGCCCUCAAAGUAGGGAGCAAGUCUUAGUUUUCUAGGACAGUAGUUCUCAGUCGUAGCAGACAUAAAACCCCUUUUACUGUCCUGAAGUGAAAUUCAAAGACAGUUACAGAUCUAUGUUUACAUGUGUGCUUACCCAUAAUACACAGGAAAGGACCGCAUAACAAUUGUCAGGCCUGCCUGUGCGCAUACACACUAAAGCUGGUGACCCAGCUUUCCAAGCUGUCCACCAGGGGGCGGCACACCUCUUUCGUUGCUGUAAACAGCUCCGUCCCUGUCCUCGAGACUCCUCCCAAGGUGGCCUAAUAGUUUCCCUGAGGGCCCGUGAGUGAUGAGGGCGGGGUUAUAAAGACAGGAAGUCAGAGUAUGGAGCUGAAGCCCAACGUAGCAUGAUUUCUGGUCCCGUGAACACACCAUGAUUAGAAUCCUCCUCUGCUUUAAAAUUGUAGUUAUUGUCAUUUGCUUAAAAAGUGAUGAUGAAGUAACGUGCACUUUCAUUGAAAUUUUCGAGGUUACUUUGCAUCAUAGCAAGCGGCCAAUAUUCAUUUAAUGUUUUCCUUAAAUUGACUUAAUUUUUCUUUAACCUAGAUACAUAUAUUUAAAUGGAAACUUUAAAGUAUAAAUGGAAAACUUGUAUCACCUAGCAUAAUUAUAGGGUAACCUAUAAAAAACCAAAUACAACAAUGUUGCCACAUUCUUGCUGAUUCUUAUACUGUUUCCCACCAAAGGCCCCUCUCUCUGUAAAAAGGGAGUUUAACAAGUGUUGAAGAACUGUUGCAGACAUAUUCACACACUGAAUGGACAGAGUCUCCUUAAUCAGGACUAACAGAGGAGUCUAGGGAUAUUUUUCUCAGUAAGAGAACCCACUGCAUUCAUUCAUUCAUUCAUUCAUUCAUUCAUUCAUUGAUCAUUUACUUUGAUGGAGAGAGGGCAGUGCAGAGCCUGAGGUGGGGCUCUAACUUAUGAACCAUGAGAUCAUGACCUGAGCCAAAGUCAGACAUUCAACUGACUGAGCCACCCAGCUGCCCUGAGAAUCCACAUUAGUUAAAGCUUUGUCUGUGUGCCCCUAAAAUCCCCCCCCCCCACACACACACAUAUAACAGUGGACAAAAUGUCUCCCACUCUGGGGCCCUGGUUUGGCAGGUCAAGGGACCACCUGCUAGUUGUGUGUCCCACACAUGUCACUUAUUCCCUCUGAUUCUUUAUGUCCUCACCUGUAAUAUAAGAAGAUUAGAAGAAACCUCUGAAGUUCUUCAGGGCCAAUAGUUGAAGACUCUCUGAAGCCCUAUUUUCACUGGAAGACCUAGGACUUAAGGAAGGCAUCCUUCCAUUUUGUGUUUAGAACUUUUGAUGAAGAGCCCUGGAGAAAGUCAAGGAUUCUCACAAACCCCAACCAGCACCCCCUCUCCUGAGAGGCAAUUUAGCCUAACAUAGCAGAGCAGCUAAGAGCUGAGACUCUGGAGUCCACGAGACCUGGAUAUAAAUCCUUGCUUUGCCUCUUCCUGGUUUUGUGACUUUAGCCAAGUUACCUCUUUGGCUUUACUUCUGUAUCUAUAAAAUAGGGAUAGUAAUAGUAUUUAUCUUUAGUGUGAAGAUGAAAUUAUAAUAUGUAUGUCAGGUACUUAGUACAGUAUCUGGCCCAUAUGUUAGCAGUUAGUCGUGUUUGUUGGGGUAAUUCCUAUGAUUUUGUGAAAAAGGAAUCGGUAAACUCUAGAAACAAGCCAUUGGGGGUUGCUGUUUGGGAGCCCUGUUCCCAAUAUUUUUAAGCUGAUAAAUGAAUAUCAUAGGCACCCAAGAAAGGAAGGCCUUGUCUGAGAAAGGUGAAUGUGAAUGUACGAGGUUGUCCCACCCACACAUGGCCUUGAUGGUAAUAUGGGGGCCAAGUAUAUCUGUGUGGGUUUAAGAUUUAAAAAAAAAAUUAAAAACAUUAUUUUUCCUUGCUUUAAAGCACUAGCUGGGUGACUUGUGACUUUCCAGCCGACAGGUUUCCUGUGUCUCUGGCCCCUGGGUGUAGGUACAUGCAAGUGUGUGAACAGGAGAGUCGGGGGAACAGUAGUGGGGCACGAUUUAUCCCUGGUGGCCCUUGAUGUGCCCUACCACCAAGGCAGGCCUGUUCUAGGCCAGGUUGGGGUGGGCAAGGUGACUGGGGCACUGGGAGCCUGGUGUCUGGAACACCAGCACUGCUCAUGCUUCCUGCCACUUCUGGUACAUUCCAGACCAGGUGGAAUUCUCUUACUGAAGACACCUCGUUGGCAUGACCAUGUGAAUGCUACCUAAAUGCUACCUAAAGAGAGAUUUCUGUUAUUUAAGCUGUGGACCUGGAUUUUCAUUCUGACUUGACCACUAAUGAGUUCUGUGACCUUUCUGAACAUUUCUGUUUCUUCCUUUUUUUAUUUGUAAAAUGAAAGAUCAGGUCAUACCAGUGGUUUUAGAGUUAUAAUUUAUGUGUGUGUAUGGUAGGUAGGUCACAGAACACUUAGACAAGCUGAUAAUUAGACUUUCUCUACAAAGAAUGUAUGUCCCCACACAUUUUAUAUAAAAUUCAGGAUGUUUUAAGACUCCCCUGGAAACCCACCCUUGGAUUCCAGCUUGCAAGCCAUUUUGUGCUUCAUUCAUCUUACAAGCUUCUGUGAAGCCCAUGCCUUCCAAGUUGAUUUCCCUACUGAGCCCAAACCAAAUGGAGAAUCUGUCCAUUUGUAAACAAGUGCUUAGCGCAUUCUCCCCUCCAGUCCAGCCAGCCGCAGCUCAGCAGGGCUGUGAAGAGAUGUGCCACCAGGGCCUUUGCACAUGCUAUGCAGGUUAUCCCCUGCACAAGGUGUCCCCAGCUGAUGGCCAAGCCUUUUCCUAAUUCACACAAAAGUGGGACAUGGGCCAGCAGCAGAUUAUGCAACGUGUAAUUGUGCACCAAAAUAUAAGAUGCAGCAGGAGACUUUCCACCUCAGGGCUCGCUCUCCCUUUGUGGGCACAGUAGACAGUAUUAAUUAGCGGCUGGAGAGAAGGCUAGCCCAAUAUACACUUAAAGAAAACUCAGGCAAGACUGAGCUCCUUGAAUUAUGACUCUUGUGGAAAGUAACUGGAUUCAUUGGAAUUCUCAGUUGCAGGUAAUGGAAACCAAUUCGCUGACUUGAGCAGAAAAGGAAUUUAUUGAAAGCAUGUCAGGUGGGUCACAGAAAUGUCAGCAAAGCUACAGCCCAGGCACAAGAUAAAGGGCAGUGACAAGGGAGGUCAGGUGUCUGUCACAACAGCAGUCUGUGUGAUGACACAGCCCCAGUCUGGCAUAGAUACCAGGCUUAUGCUGCUGCCACAGGGAUGAUGGAGUGAAAGGUGUCACCACUCCAGCUAAAAUGGAUUCUCUAGGGCCUUGUUUCACUGCAUAUGCACAUAUAAUUGGUGAACCUGGGUCACGUGUUUAACCCUCCCAGCUGCAAGGUACACUGGAAAAGUGAAUGACUGACAUUUCCCAGUCUGUAGAGGGUGUGCUCUCUGCCUCCCACCAAGACCCUGAAGGGGGAGAGGUCCCCUCCAAGUAAUUGAAGGCAGCUCUCUGAAAUCAACAGACAUUCUGCAGAAACAGAAACCAGCCAGAGCUAGCUUCAGUAAAAAGGACUCUUAGAGGCUACAGUGUGUUUCAUGGCACCAAGGGCAGGAGGGAAGCCGGACUUCUGGAAUGGCCUGGAACCAGGUGCUGAGAACUCUCUGGCCAAGGCUUUCAUUUCGGUAGAAAGCAAGCGAACAAGUUGCUUUCUGAUGGUGAGAACCACAAACUGAGGGGCAUUCUACAACCAAACAAAAGUAAACAACAAAGACAACCCAACUGGCCUGUAGUCUUCAAAAAUGUCAAGGUCACGAAAGACAAAGAAGGACUGAGGAAGAGGUUGCACAUUAAAGAGCUGUGGCGAUCGAGCGCAUUGUGUGGUCCCGGACCAGUAUUUUUUUUUUUUUUAAAUGAACUUCUUUGUUGGCUUAUUAGCUAUAACUGUAUGUGUGUUUGUGUAUGUGUUCUUUUUUAGUGUUUGCUUUAGAAUUUAUAGUAUACACGUUUAGCUCAUUGCACUCCACUUUGAGGUAUUAUAUCACUUGAUACUUCAUGUAUGGUGUAAGAACCUUGGAUAGUGUACUUGUGUUUCUUCCCCUUCCAGCCUUUUGUGCUAUUGCUGUCAUACAUUUGUACUUCUAAUAUGUUAUAAACCCCA